UACGUAGGGGUCCGAGCGUUGUCCGGAAUUAUUGGGCGUAAAGGGCUCGUAGGCGGUUCGUCACGUCGGGAGUGAAAACUCGGAGCUUAACUCCGAGCCUGCUUCCGAUACGGGCAGACUAGAGGUAGGCAGGGAAGAGCGGAACUCCUGGUGUAGCGGUGGAAUGCGCAGAUAUCAGGAGGAACACCGGUGGCGAAGGCGCCACUCUGGGCCGAAACUGACGCUGAGGAGCGAAAGCGUGGGUAGCAAACAGG
rnacentral:rRNA from 1 species